rnacentral:rRNA from 1 species
UACGUAGGCAGCGAGCGUUGUUCGGAGUUACUGGGCGUAAAGGGUGUGUAGGCGGUUUUCUAAGUUUGGUGUGAAAUCUCCCGGCUCAACCGGGAGGGUGCGCCGAAAACUGGGAGACUAGAGUGCGGGAUGGGAGAGUAGAAUUCCUGGUGUAGCGGUGAAAUGCGUAGAUAUCAGGAGGAAUACCGGUGGUGUAGACGGCUCUCUGGACCACCAUCUGACGCUGAGACACGAAAGCGUGGGUAGCAAACAGG